CUAACCUUCUGCUGGGAGGCCUUCCUGAGCUCUAGCCAUGGCCACCAGUCAACCCAAGCCAACUGCGGAGCUAGACAGCCUGAGCUAGCCAGACUCUUGCCCACCCAGAAACCACCUUCCCCGCUGCCCCUUCUCCCUUUGGCCCUGGGGCUGACUGAGCAGCCCCCGGGACCCCCACUUUUUUCUCAGCUCUUACAUGACAUCAAGUGGCAUCUGGGAUGUCUGAGACUGUGAACCUGUUGUCUUUGGCCUCCGUGAGGCCCAGAGACCCCAGAGCUGACUCUUCCGCAGUACUCAAUGGUCUGUGGUGCCAGAGAGUCAGAGCCGAGACUGCGCCUUCCCCACCUCAUGGAAUGGGGUCCAGUGGCCUAACACGGCCCAAUGCCUGUCUCUCAGGAGUUAUGUGGGAUCCUGCAGCAGUCUCCUGAGUCCACCCACCCAGAGGCCCGGACGAGGGUCAUUUCUCCCACCCUUUUAUUUCCCCACACCUGGCACCCUGCAGUCUCCCAAUUCUCUAGACCAUUUACUUCUUUUCAAGGACACCCAUAGGCUGUUGCCACUUCAAGUGUCUCUGCAACACCAUUGCUCUAUGCACCUGAACAGUGGCCAUCCACACAGACACUAGCGUCUGCCUGGCUCUGACAUCAUACAUGUAGGGCCUUCGUGUCUCUGAACACUCUGCCACUUCAUGUGAAGACACAAUCUCACACUACAGGAUUCCUGAGACAUUCCCAAAGUCUGGGUAGUACAAGUCCUGCUCUUUCGCCUUCCAUGAAUGACAUU
rnacentral:lncRNA from 1 species